AACCACUAACACGAAGGUAAACAAUGUGUUGCUGGGUAUAUAACCUUACUGUGUUGUGCCUUAGAGAUGGGUACUGUUGAUGAACUAAGCUAACGAUCUGCGUUAUUUUGCGCUUGUCUUCUGCUCCAGGACCUAACAUCUGUGUUGUUGGUUCGACCUGUGUGACGUCAUACGCGACAGACCACAACGUAACAGCAACAGGCGAGAUUACAUCUUUGCGGUUUCUCCUUUAAAAAACAUACUAGCGAGAAAGAAGCGUUAUUUAUCACAAAAUGGCAGCAACCUCGAGCUUCACCUUGACUUUGCUUGUGGGGUUCCUCUGUUGUUCUCUGAGCUUAAACACUGAGCAGGUGCCGUGUUACACCUCUGAGAAAUCCCCAUAUCGGUUAUACGGUUCCAAGACGGCGUACGAGGAGAUACCGGCGAAUUGGAAUGGAAGUGUAACAAGGAAUACCGACUCGGUGGAGCAAGGUUGCAAUCCAAUCAUGAUUUGGCAUCUGAAUCGCCAUGGAUACCGUUACCCUGGAGACGAUGACAUAGAGCUGUUCAACACCGUACUACCUGUAUUCAGAGACGGAAUUGUAAAUAAUGCUACAGUGGCCGGUCAGUUUUGUGCUGGAGAUCUCGCGGCACUACGAGACUGGACCCCAAGAAUGGUUCCCAGGGAUGAUUCCAAGCUUGUGGAAACUGGUCAUCGAGAGUUAAUGAGCAUUGCUGACCAUUUCCGGGCAAAAUAUCCCUCCUUACUGAAUGUAUCAGCGGACGCACUGUUGGCGAAUUUCACCUUCCGCCACACCGAUAAGGAGAGAACGAGAAUGAGCGCUAAGGCGUUUGUAAAGGGGCUACUUAAACAACCAGGAAUGUCUGAUGCCGAGCUAAAUGCACUGGUAGACCGAGUACCGAUGGUUGUCCGAGAAAUAGGAAAGGACUUACUUCUACGUUUCUACGAUGUUUGCGAAAAAUACAUUAAGACCGUAGAUGAGCAGCCAGUAGCAGAGCUAGAGAAGUUCUACAAAGCCUCGGUGAUGGCUAAAACGAGAGGGGACGUAUCAAUGAGGCUGGGACUGGAUCAAAGUUUGAAUGAAACGGUUGCCGAGGCUCUGUGGCUAGCAUGUGCCAGCGAGUACGCCAUAUAUGGGCUUACCCAAGACAAAACCGUCCGGAACUCAAGUGCUGCCCCCUGGUGCUCACUUUUUACACAGGAGGAGCUGAAAGCUUUUGAGUACGUUGCCGACUUGGAAUAUUAUUACAAGAACUCCUACGGGAAUGAAGUAAACUACGAGCAGACGUGUCCGUUAUUGAAGGAUUUAAUUGGAGCGAUCAGGAACGCAACGACCGGGUCUAACUUUCUUCAUGGGCUGUUUAGAUUUGCUCAUUCAGCCACAAUUGUGCCGUUCUACUCUGCUCUUGGACUGUUCAAGGAUGCCCAGGCCCCGACCUCCGAUAACUAUGACUCUCGAGCAGACAGAAAACUUCGAACCAGCUACAUUGAUUCCAUGGCCUCAAAUAUCAACUUCGUAAUCUACAAAUGUGAAGACACACACAAAUUCAAAAUCCAUGUGAACGAGCGCGAAACUCUGUUACCCGGAUGUAGUGACAUAUUGUGCGACGUCAGUAUACUGAUGGAUAGCGUGGGAAAAGUCGCAGACGCGUGCGAUUUUGAAAAGAUCUGUAAAUGGCCUGUUAACCCGCCGAUAGGGAGAGCCACAAGAGAUGCGGUUGCCACGACAACUUUGAUGCUGACAUUCCUUGUGCUUCUUUUAUCUAGGCAGUUAUAAUAGUAAAAGUUAGUAGUUUUGUUAUCUAAGGUUAAUGUGUUCGUUUAGAAAAGUAAUAGACUUUAUGUAUGUUGCAAGGUUUUGUAUUUAGAAGUUCUUUUAAAGGUACCCGUUUUAAAAUUUCACGAAGUCAUAUUUAUGCAUGUAUAUAUCCUGAAAAGUUUCUUAUCCUUUCCUAUUUUACCUUAAAUACGAUAAAACCCUUCCAAUAAAAGAAUCCGAUUUCUAAGGUAUAAUUUGUUUAGACGAAUGUUGGAAACAAGCAAUAGAAACAUCGGUGCAGAUAGUGCACACGCUGUGCAAG
rnacentral:misc_RNA from 1 species